UGGGGAAUAUUGCACAAUUGGCGCAAGCCUGAUGCAGCCAUGCCGCGUGUAUGAAGAAGGCCUUCGGGUUGUAAAGUACUUUCAGCGGGGAGGAAGGGAGUAAAGUUAAUACCUUUUCUCAUUGACGUUACCCGCAUAAGAAGCACCGGCUAACUCCGUGCCAGCAGCCGCGGUAAUACGGAGGGUGCAAGCGUUAAUCGGUAUUACUGGGCGUAAAGCGCACGCAGGCGGUUUGUUAAGUCAGAUGUGAAAUCCCCGGGCUCAACCUGGGAACUGCAUCUGAUAAUGGCAAGCUUGAGUCUCGUAGAGGGGGGUAGAAUUCCAGGUGUAGCGGUGAAAUGCGUAGAGAUCUGGAGGAAUACCGGUGGCGGAGGCGGCCCCAUGGACGAAGACUGACGCUCAGGUGCGAAAGCGUGGGGAGCAAACAGG
rnacentral:rRNA from 1 species